rnacentral:piRNA from 1 species
CAGUGAUUAAACCAGAGAAAU